CUCCACCGCCUCCCUUUCCUGCUCCUUUGCCCAGCUCACCCAGCUAGAGAGAGGGAGAGAUAUAUCAAAUCACAACUCGGGUCUCCCACGGGAAAAAACAAACAUGUCACACUAUCUGAGGGUUCAUGCCAGGAUUUUUUUCGAGACCUGAUAUUGAAGAACAUUCAACACGAGGCCUAUGUUUUUCAUCUGCACUGGCUUGGGAGAAAAAAACUGACAUUUCAGUGUGAGUCCUAUUUGUUUGAUUUUCUCUCUACAAAAUGCGAAGGAAUUACAUGUAUUUCAAAUAUGUAUUUUGUAUGUUUUAUUACACUGGGCUGAACUACACUGUAAUCUAUUUUGUAACCAGAUAAUUUCUAAAGCUGUAAUAUGUAUUUUCAAAAUACAAUUUGUUUUUGGUACAUAUUUGUAUCUUUAUUUUUUUUAAUUAUAACUGGUUUGGCAUGUAUUUGUUUUGUGAGGGCUGUUUACCAGGUUUAUUUGCCAUUAAGUAGUAUGCUUUCUUUUGAGUUUAACCUAUAGUUGUUGGCGCUCUUCAAAAGGUUAAGAUUACAUUCCUGCUUAAAUUCAAACAUUUAAUUUUUUGAUGGGCUUUUUCUAAAAUAGUGAUUUAUUUUUCUUUCAUUUCUAACUCAGAUGUACAGUAACUUUUGACGAGUAUGAGAUUACCAUUCCCCUAAUGUACACCUUAAAUGCAUCUCAAAUUAUAUUAGGGUUAGGCUUUUCCCAUCCUCUAUGUCUACAUUUGUAAUGGCAUUUUUUUUUUUUUUUUCAUUUACUUAUUUAAUACAUUUCGGGUCUUGAACAUGUGCUCUGUUCAUUCUCCAUAUUCUGUCGCUAAGUGUAUUUUCUGUUGGUGUAAUUAAACAUGAAAGAAGAU